UUGGAGCACCCGUGCAGGGUUAAAUCUUUCGGAAAGCCGUGCCCGCGGUUAUGUGGCAACGUGGAAACUUUGUUUAACACUGGUUCUAGAUGACUUGAAGUUAACUUAAUUAAAAUAAGCCAACUGUGUGCGUAACCGUGACUGUAUCUUUCGUGAGUUGCUUCUCGGAUCGAGGACACGGUGGGGUUAUGUCUGACGUAGGUAGAUGUUCAGGAUCAUUCAUUUGAUCAUCAGUAGUUCACGUCCGUUAUGCGUAGAUCUUCCCCCUCUUAUUUCUUGUACUCGUAAGUUUAGCCACCAAAUAUAUGCUUAGCCGCUGCAGCAACCUCACCACCUAACCAUACCUCACCC
rnacentral:lncRNA from 1 species